rnacentral:rRNA from 1 species
UACAGAGGGGGCAAGCGUUGUUCGGAAUUACUGGGCGUAAAGGGCGCGUAGGCGGCCUGUUAAGUCGAACGUGAAAUCCCCGGGCUCAACCCGGGAACUGCGUCCGAUACUGGCAGGCUUGAAUUCGGGAGAGGGAUGUGGAAUUCCAGGUGUAGCGGUGAAAUGCGUAGAUAUCUGGAGGAACACCGGUGGCGAAGGCGG